rnacentral:rRNA from 1 species
GAGGAACGAAAGCUAGGGGAGCAAACAGGAUUAGAUACCCUGGUAGUCCUAGCCCUAAACGAUCAGGACUUGGGGUGCCACCCGUUCGGGUGUCGUCCCGGAGCUAACGCGUUAAGUCCUGCACCUGGGGAGUACGGUCGCAAGACUGAAACUCAAAGGAAUUGACGGGGGCCCGCACAAGCGGUGGAACAUGUGGUUCAAUUCGACGCUACGCGAGGAACCUUACCUGGGCUCGAAAUGCUUCUGACCAGCUGUGGAAACACGGCCUUCCCGCAAGGGACAGGAGUAUAGGCGCUGCAUGGCUGUUGUCAGCUCGUGCCGUGAGGUGUUGGGUUAAGUCCCGCAACGAGCGCAACCCCUGCACGUAGUUGCCACCCGCAAGGGGGAACUCUACGUGGACUGCUCCGGAUAACGGAGAGGAAGGUGGGGAUGACGUCAAGUCCGCAUGGCCUUUAUGUCCAGGGCUACACACGUGUUACAAUGCAGGGCACAAACCGUUGCCAACCCGCGAGGGGGAGCUAAUCGGAAAAAACUCUGCUCAGUUCGGAUUGCAGUCUGCAACUCGACUGCAUGAAGCCGGAAUCGCUAGUAAUGGCGUAUCAGAUCGACGCCGUGAAUACGUUCCCGGGCCUUGUACACACCGCCCGUCACAUCACGAAAGUGAGCUGUACUAGAAGUCGCCGAGCUAACCGCAAGGAGGCAGGCGCCCAAGGUAUGGCCCACGAUUGGGGUGAAGUCGUAACAAGGUAACCGCCGUUACUAGUGGAUCCCG